GACGAACGCUGGCGGCGUGCUUAACACAUGCAAGUCGAACGGAAAGGCCUCUUUCGGGGGGUACUCGAGUGGCGAACGGGUGAGUAACACGUGAGUAACCUGCCCUUGACUUUGGGAUAACUUCAGGAAACUGGGGCUAAUACCGGAUAGGAGCUCCUGCUGCAUGGUGGGGGUUGGAAAGUUUCGGCGGUUGGGGAUGGACUCGCGGCUUAUCAGCUUGUUGGUGGGGUAGUGGCUUACCAAGGCUUUGACGGGUAGCCGGACUGAGAGGGUGACGGGCCACAUUGGGACUGAGAUACGGCCCAGACUCCUACGGGAGGCAGCAGUGGGGAAUAUUGCACAAUGGGUGGAAGCCUGAUGCAGCAACGCCGUGUGCGGGAUGACGGCCUUCGGGUUGUAAACCGCUUUCGCUCAUGACGAAGCUUUGUGUGACGGUAGUGGGUAAAGAAGCACCGGCUAACUACGUG
rnacentral:rRNA from 1 species